rnacentral:rRNA from 2 species
AUGAACGCCGGCGGUGUGCCUAAUACAUGCAAGUCGAACGCGUUGGCCCAAUUGAUUGAUGGUGCUUGCACCUGAUUGAUUUUGGUCGCCAACGAGUGGCGGACGGGUGAGUAACACGUAGGUAACCUGCCCAGAAGCGGGGGACAACAUUUGGAAACAGAUGCUAAUACCGCAUAACAACGUUGUUCGCAUGAACAACGCUUAAAAGAUGGCUUCUCGCUAUCACUUCUGGAUGGACCUGCGGUGCAUUAGCUUGUUGGUGGGGUAACGGCCUACCAAGGCGAUGAUGCAUAGCCGAGUUGAGAGACUGAUCGGCCACAAUGGGACUGAGACACGGCCCAUACUCCUACGGGAGGCAGCAGUAGGGAAUCUUCCACAAUGGGCGCAAGCCUGAUGGAGCAACACCGCGUGAGUGAAGAAGGGUUUCGGCUCGUAAAGCUCUGUUGUUAAAGAAGAACACGUAUGAGAGUAACUGUUCAUACGUUGACGGUAUUUAACCAGAAAGUCACGGCUAACUACGUGCCAGCAGCCGC